GAUCCUGGCUCAGGAUGAACGCUGGCGGCGUGCUUAACACAUGCAAGUCGAACGAAGCACUUAUCUUUGAUUCUUCGGAUGAAGAGGUUUGUGACUGAGUGGCGGACGGGUGAGUAACGCGUGGGUAACCUGCCUCAUACAGGGGGAUAACAGUUAGAAAUGACUGCUAAUACCGCAUAAGACCACAGAGCUGCAUGGCUCGGUGGGAAAAACUCCGGUGGUAUGAGAUGGACCCGCG
rnacentral:rRNA from 1 species